GUGAACGCUGGCGGUAGGCCUCACCCCUGCCGGUCGAACGGCAGCACAGUAAGAGCUUGCUCUUACGGGUGGCGAGUGGCGGACGGGUGAGGAAUACAUCGGAAUCUACUUUUUCGUGGGGGAUAACGUAGGGAAACUUACGCUAAUACCGCAUACGACCUACGGGUGAAAGCAGGGGAUCUUCGGACCUUGCGCGAUUGAAUGAGCCGAUGUCGGAUUAGCUAGUUGGCGGGGUAAAGGCCCACCAAGGCGACGAUCCGUAGCUGGUCUGAGAGGAUGAUCAGCCACACUGGAACUGAGACACGGUCCAGACUCCUACGGGAGGCAGCAGUGGGGAAUAUUGGACAAUGGGCGCAAGCCUGAUCCAGCCAUACCGCGUGGGUGAAGAAGGCCUUCGGGUUGUAAAGCCCUUUUGUUGGGAAAGAAAAGCAGCAGGUUAAUACCCCGCUGUUCUGACGGUACCCAAAGAAUAAGCACCGGCUAACUUCGUG
rnacentral:rRNA from 1 species